CAUCUCAUACCCAAGGCUAGCAUGGGCUGCAGGCUGCUCUGCUGUGCGGUUCUCUGUCUCCUGGGAGCAGUUCCCAUAGACACUGAAGUUACCCAGACACCAAAACACCUGGUCAUGGGAAUGACAAAUAAGAAGUCUUUGGAAUGUGAACAACAUAUGGGGCACAAUGCUAUGUAUUGGUACAAGCAGAAAGCGAAGAAGCCGCCGGAGCUCAUGUUUGUCUACAAUUAUGAGAAACUCUCUAUAAAUGAAAGUGUGCCCACUCGCUUCUCACCUGAAUGCCCCAAGAGCUCUCUCUUAAACCUUCACCUACACGCCCUGCAGCCAGAAGACUCGGCCCUGUAUCUCUGCGCCAGCAGCCAAGACACAGCCUUGCAGAGUCACUGCUUUCCUGUGCAGAAACCUUCAGGGCCUGCCAGGAAGCUGUGGGGGCCACGGACGGCUCGGGUGAACAUUUCCUGCAAGAGCCCCGACAGAAGCUUCAGAACAUCCUGGCACCUGCUAAUUCAUCCAUGUGGCAAUGUUACAUCCUAUGCACAUAUUUAGAGUGUGGGUUUUCUUUUGCCUGAGUGUGACUCUGCCCCGUCAACUGAUUUAAAAAAGAUAAACAUAUUCAGAUCUAGUUUUUUAAAAAUGUUUUUUUUUUUUUAAAUCAUGAAAUAGGCCGGGCAUGGUGGCUCAUGCCUGUAAUCCCAGCACUUUGGGAGGCCAAGACGGGCAGAUCAUGAGGUCAGGAGUUUGCGACCAGCCUGGCCAAUAUGGUGAAACCCCGUCUCUACUAAAAAUACAAAAAUUAGCUGGGCGUGGUGGCAUAUGCCUGUAAUCCCAGCUACUCAGGAGGCAGGAGAGUCACUUGAACUCGGGAGGUGGAGGUUGCGGUGAGCCGAGACCGUGACAUUGCACUCCAGUCUGGGCGACAGAGUAAGAUUCUGUCUCAAAAAAAAAAAAAAAAAAAAAAAUCCUGAAAUAAAGCAAGCAUGCUGUAAGGAUUGUUUAGCUUAAAAUUUUAUAAGAACCCUCUAAACAAUCACCUGUGUCACCACAGAGUCACACCCUGCACUGGGUCAGACACU